GUCCCCAUAGUUUAAUGGAUAAAACGGAAGAUUGCGGAUCUUCUGAUCGUGGUUCGAUUCCACGUGGGGACACCA
rnacentral:tRNA from 4 species